AGUAAUUGUCAAGGACAAUCACUUACAGAUAUUCAACCUUGUAAUGCAGGAGUAGCAUGUCCAGGUCAAUUGACUGAUUGGACAGCGUGGAGUCAAUGUCCAGCUACAUGUCAACAAACAGUUGGUCAAUAUAAUUUGCAAUACAGAUCUAGACAAUGUAUCAAUGCAUCAUUAAAUGGAAAUUGUGGUGGAGCUGUAUUAAAUGAUCAAACUUCUUGUGUUAAAGAUGUUCCGUGUCCUGGAAUUCUUAGCCAAUGGAGCACUUGGAGUUUGUGUUCAGAGUCUUGUAGAAGCAACUUGUUGAUAACCCUAUCUCAAACUAG